UACGUAGGGGGCAAGCGUUGUCCGGAUUUAUUGGGCGUAAAGAGCGUGUAGGCGGCCUGAAAGGUCAGCUGUGAAAACUCGAGGCUCAACCUCGAGACGUCGGUUGAAACCAUCUGGCUAGAGUCCGGAAGAGGAGAGUGGAAUUCCCGGUGUAGCGGUGAAAUGCGCAGAUAUCGGGAAGAACACCCGUGGCGAAGGCGGGCUCUCUGGGACGGUACUGACGCUGAGACGCGAAAGCGUGGGGAGCGAACAGG
rnacentral:rRNA from 1 species